GAGUGCGGGCUGUGCUGGCUGAUCGCGUCAAAAGGUUUGAGAUAAUGUGUAACAUUACCGCCGAUUACCACACGCUGGAGUCGUGUAUUGCGUUAUAGUUUUCUGCACACAAUGCGCUACGCGUCAGGUGCCCAGGUGGCCUUUUCCAAUUUGUAGUUGGACGGAACGCUUCAAACAAUGCGAAUCGCCGGACCGAGUCGUGGAUCCAUGGUCGUCUCUACGAGCGUAAGCAAUUCGCGCCCAAGUUACAGCCAAUACGAAGUUUUAUUCCCUGCCGCAGGGCCGCAAAUAAAACUAAGCGGUGAAUUGAACUGGUUCAGCAAAUAACUUAAGAUGAUCAUGUGGUUGCACGUUGUGGGCAUGGACCAUUCUGACCUUUUGGUUCCUCGGAACGAUGCUCUGAGAUCGGUGAGGAUUGAAGAAAGU